AUUGAACGCUGGCGGCAGGCCUAACACAUGCAAGUCGAGCGAGCGGCGGACGGGUGAGUAAUGUAUGGGGACUGCCCGAUAGAGGGGGAUCACUACUGGAAAAGGUAGCUAAUACCGCAUACUAUCGGAUAACCCAUAUGGGAUUAGCUGGUAGGUGAGGGAAUGUCGCACCUAGGCGACGAUCCCUAGCUGGUCUGAGAGGAUGAUCAGCCACACUGGGACUGAGACACGGCCCUGACUCCUACGGAGGCAGCAGUGGGGAAUAUUGCACAAUGGGCGCAAGCCUGAUGCAGCCAUGCCGCGUGUAUGAAGAAGGCCCUAGGGUUGUAAAGUACUUUCAGUCGGGAGGCGUUACCGACAGAAGAAGCACCGGCUAACUCCGUGCCAGCAGCCGCGGUAAUUC
rnacentral:rRNA from 1 species